rnacentral:ncRNA from 14 species
CCAACGGCUCUUUUAAGAGCCACACACCAGUUUCCUCGAAGAGCUG